GUCAAAACACCAGUUCCCGUAGGAUUAUCGAUGUUAAGCAACGACAAGCCUGUUUAGUACCUAGAUGGGUGACCAGUUGGGAAUACCAGGUGC